rnacentral:rRNA from 1 species
GAUGAACGCUAGCGGCAGGCCUAAUACAUGCAAGUCAAGGGGCUCGCAGGAGCACCGGCGGACGGGUGCGUAACGCGUACAGAACGUGCCUUUGGGCGGGGGAUAGCAUUGGGAAACUGGUGGUAAUACCCCAUGGUAUUUCGGGUUGGCAUCGACCUGGAAUUAAAGUUUCGGCGCCCAAAAGAUCGCUGUGCGUCCGAUUAGCUAGUUGGCGGGGUAACGGCCCACCAAGGCGACGAUCGGUAGGGGGUGUGAGAGCAUGACCCCCCCANACGGGUACUGAGACACGGACCCGACUCCUACGGGAGGCAGCAGUAAGGAAUAUUGGACAAUGGGCGGAAGCCUGAUCCAGCCAUGCCGCGUGAGUGAUGAAGGCCCUAGGGUUGUAAAGCUCUUUCAGCUGGGAAGAUAAUGACGGUACCAGCAGAAGAAGCCCCGGCUAACUCCGUG